rnacentral:rRNA from 1 species
CUUGCUCCUUGAUUCAGCGGCGGACGGGUGAGUAAUGCCUAGGAAUCUGCCUGGUAGUGGGGGACAACGUUUCGAAAGGAACGCUAAUACCGCAUACGUCCUACGGGAGAAAGCAGGGGACCUUCGGGCCUUGCGCUAUCAGAUGAGCCUAGGUCGGAUUAGCUAGUUGGUGGGGUAAUGGCUCACCAAGGCGACGAUCCGUAACUGGUCUGAGAGGAUGAUCAGUCACACUGGAACUGAGACACGGUCCAGACUCCUACGGGAGGCAGCAGUGGGGAAUAUUGGACAAUGGGCGAAAGCCUGAUCCAGCCAUGCCGCGUGUGUGAAGAAGGUCUUCGGAUUGUAAAGCACUUUAAGUUGGGAGGAAGGGCAGUAAGUUAAUACCUUGCUGUUUUGACGUUACCGACAGAAUAAGCACCGGCUAACUCUGUGCCAGCAGCCGCGGUAAUACAGAGGGUGCAAGCGUUAAUCGGAAUUACUGGGCGUAAAGCGCGCGUAGGU